rnacentral:rRNA from 1 species
CAGUAGCCACGGUAAUACGGAGGAUCCAAGCGUUAUCCGGAAUCAUUGGGUUUAAAGGGUCCGUAGGCGGUCUUGUAAGUCAGUGGUGAAAGCCCAUCGCUCAACGGUGGAACGGCCAUUGAUACUGCAGGACUUGAAUUAUUGGGAAGUAACUAGAAUAUGUAGUGUAGCGGUGAAAUGCUUAGAGAUUACAUGGAAUACCAAUUGCGAAGGCAGGUUACUACCAAUUGAUUGACGCUGAUGGACGAAAGCGUGGGUAGCGAACAGGAUUAGAUACCCCAGUAGUCCCUGUCUCUUAUAC